AGCUAUUUACUCUGAGCUGGUGGGAGACACAAAGUCAAAGAAACAUGAGCAUUCAGAAAUUCAAAAGUGUUUUUCCUACCAAUUCCACUUUGGCCAGCUCCACACUUACAGAUGAAAUGAAGCAACUCAAUAAGAAUCCUCUUAACAUCCCUUGAAUAUCAAAGUGUAACUUUGAAAAUGGUUUUAAAUGUCACAGGUACCCUGAUCCACCCAGUCAAUCUACCCAGACACAGUGUGGGCAAUGAAAUGUUACCUUCUGUUGUAAGGAAAGUGGCUGAGAACAUUCCCCAGCCCACUGCAUGCUCAGGCUACA
rnacentral:lncRNA from 1 species